rnacentral:tRNA from 1 species
UGCGGAACUGGCGGAAUUGGUAGACGCGCUAGAUUCAGGUUCUAGUGGGAGUUUUAUCCCUUGCGAGUUCAAGUCUCGCGUUCCGCAUC